rnacentral:rRNA from 1 species
GACGAACGCUGGCGGCGUGCUUAACGCAUGCAAGUCGAACGGAAAGGCCUGCUUUCCCUUGUGGAUUGCGGGUACUCGAGUGGCGAACGGGUGAGUAACACGUGAGUGAUCUGCCCCCAACUUGGGUAUAAGCCUGGGAAACUGGGUCUAAUUCCCGAUAGGACUGCAGGGUGGUGCCUGUGGUGGAAAACGAUUUUCUAGUGGUUGGGGAUGAGCUCGCGGCCUAUCAGCUUGUUGGUGGGGUAAUGGCCUACCAAGGCGGCUACGGGUAGCCGGCCUGGGAGGGUGGACGGCCACAUUGGGACUGAGAUACGGCCCAGACUCCUACGGGAGGCAGCAGUGGGGAAUAUUGCACAAUGGGCGGAAGCCUGAUGCAGCGACGCCGCGUGGGGGAUGACGGCCUUCGGGUUGUAAACUCCUUUCGACCGCGAGGAAGCCACCUGGUUGGAAGGGUGGUGACGGUAGUGGUAGAAGAAGCACCGGCUAACUACGUG